AGAAGAGACCCACGUCAAUACAAACACAUAAAAGCAGAACUAAAAAAACAUUUUAAUAUUUAAAUAUUUGGAGAUAAUACGAGUUAUUCAACAUCAUGGUAGUGAAAGUGUGCAGAAAAUAUCCUUCCUAAGUCCCGCCCCGUUUCCCUCUGUGCUCCAAUUACAGUUGAGCAGGCCCGGCAGAACCUCGGUCAACUUUCCUCUUAUAUUUAGAUAUGCUGCGUCUGUUCAAAAGGUAACAUUACUAUGUAAGUCACAUUACAACGGGGUCACUUCACGGACACAUUACGUUGUCUAGAGUUACAGUUUCUAUGAGGAACUUUCAUUCUGUGUUGGCUUUGGCGGUCUUUGCGGACUAAAGCGGUAGUGUUUCCCAGCACCAGGGUCCCUUCAGAAAACGUCUCAUUUUACUGCAGCAGGGUCUGACAGUCUGCCCCGCUCAGUCCUGGUUCUGGUUCUGGUUCUCCCGUGCCUCCCUUCCCUCCAGCGGGCCCAGCAAUACGUGACUCACUGUCUAUGAUCGGUUGGCUCCGGUCGUUGACCACACCGACCUUCUUUAGCUUGGCUCCUUUGUGGAUGUCCGUCAGCAGCGCUCCUCUGCCUUUAGUCUCGGAUGAGUUCAGUUUGGGAGUCUGCAGAGGAAGUUAACAGAUAUGUAAUCACACCUCCAGUUCCUCUGGUCCGAACCCGACUGGAACGGAUCCGGUCUGACCCACCUCUCGACCUUGGUAACGAAGCCGAGUCAGUCAACGUGGGUUAACCCUUUCAGACACACAAUCAACCCUGGUUCGACCCUGGUUGAGUCCUCGGUGUGAAAGGGUGCACCACUGAUCACGGCCUGAUUCAGUAAACUGUUCAUGUGAUAUGACUGGAUAGACGGUGACUUACAGACGUCUCAACACGUGUAAGAAUUUAACCGUCUGGAUAUAUAAUCUAUAUAAUCUAUAUAAUGUCCCAGUUCCUGUGGCUGACUGAUGCUGAACCUCUGCAGUGUGAUGUCACUAACCUGACUGAAG